GACGAACGCUGGCGGCGUGCCUAACACAUGCAAGUCGAACGGAAAGGCCCUGCUUUUGUGGGGUGCUCGAGUGGCGAACGGGUGAGUAACACGUGAGUAACCUGCCCUUGACUUUGGGAUAACUUCAGGAAACUGGGGCCAAAACCGGAAAGGGUCCCCUGCUGCCUGUUGGGGGUUGGAAAGUUUCGGCGGUUGGGGAUGACCUCGCGGUUUAUCAUUUUUUUGUUGGGGAAGUGGCUUACCAAGGCUUUGACGGGUAGCCGGCCUGAGAGGGUGACCGGCCACAUUGGGACUGAGAUACGGCCCAGACUCCUACGGGAGGCAGCAGUGGGGAAUAUUGCACAAUGGGCGGAAGCCUGAUGCAGCAACGCCGCGUGCGGGAUGACGGCCUUCGGGUUGUAAACCGCUUUCGCCUGUGACGAAGCGUGAGUGACGGUAAUGGGUAAAGAAGCACCGGCUAACUACGUG
rnacentral:rRNA from 1 species